UCGCUUUGGCAGCAAAUAUAUUAAAAUUGGAAUGAUACAGAGAAGAUUAGCAUGGCCCCCAUGCAAAGGUGACAAGCAAGUUCAUGAAGCGUUCCAUAUUUCU